rnacentral:lncRNA from 1 species
GAUCUCCGCAGGUAUUCGGCACGGCCUAUCAUUAAUGCAUGAGACCCCCUCAGGCCUCCGAUGCACUCAGUCAUUAAAUGAACACGGCUCAAGAUGAUCUCCGGAUCACUGAACCAUCAAAGCGUAUGGCUCUCCCUGACCGCCGGUUCACUCAGCAAUUAAUGCACUUACCAUCUACGAACCCCAGGCCCACCACGGCCGGCGGUUCAACCACCCCAAUGGGUCCGAUCAACCGCGACAACUCCCUGACUCCGGUCUGAUCCAGCCUUAUUCUCCACUACGCCAUUAAUGAGCAAAAUCGUGCCUAAUUAUCACAAAAGAGGACAAAUCCCCCUGUCACCUCCCAGGUAACAUAAUAUCUUCCUAUAAGAGGGAACCUGGGGGGAAGGAGGG